rnacentral:rRNA from 1 species
GCGCAACCCUUGUCCUUAGUUACCAGCACGUUAUGGUGGGCACUCUAAGGAGACUGCCGGUGACAAACCGGAGGAAGGUGGGGAUGACGUCAAGUCAUCAUGGCCCUUACGGCCUGGGCUACACACGUGCUACAAUGGUCGGUACAAAGGGUUGCCAAGCCGCGAGGUGGAGCUAAUCCCAUAAAACCGAUCGUAGUCCGGAUCGCAGUCUGCAACUCGACUCGCGUGAAGUCGGAAUCGCUAGUAAUCGUGAAUCAGAAUGUCACGGUGAAUACGUUCCCGGGCCUU